GGCGAGGGGUGCGAGCGGUGCCGGUGCCCACCGGCCGGGGCGGCGAGGGCUGGGACUGCCGCCGGUGAGGGUGUGGGGAAGGCAGCGGUGUGAGUUCGCCUGUGUGAAGUAACCGGUGCCGCGCCGCAGCCAUGGGGAACCGCGGGAUGGAGGAUCUCAUCCCGCUGGUCAACCGGCUGCAGGACGCCUUCGCCGCCAUCGGGCAGAACGCCAACCUCGACCUGCCGCAGAUCGCCGUGGUGGGGGGGCAGAGCGCCGGCAAGAGCUCCGUGCUGGAGAAUUUCGUCGGGAGGGAUUUUCUGCCACGUGGAUCUGGCAUCGUAACCAGGCGCCCACUGGUCCUGCAGCUGGUAAAUGCGAGCACAGAAUAUGGUGAGUUCCUACACUGCAAAGGAAAGAAAUUCACUGAUUUUGAGGAGGUCCGUUUGGAGAUUGAGGCUGAAACAGAUCGUGUUACUGGCUCCAACAAAGGGAUUUCCCCUGUGCCCAUCAAUCUUCGAGUCUACUCUCCCCAUGUCCUGAACCUGACCUUGGUGGAUCUACCGGGUAUGACCAAAGUCCCAGUAGGGGACCAGCCCCCUGACAUUGAGUUUCAGAUCCGAGAUAUGCUCAUGCAGUUUGUCACCAAAGAGAAUUGCCUCAUCCUGGCAGUAUCUCCAGCCAACUCUGAUUUGGCCAAUUCUGAUGCUCUGAAGAUUGCAAAGGAGGUGGAUCCUCAAGGGCAACGCACUAUUGGAGUCAUCACUAAGCUGGAUCUUAUGGAUGAAGGCACUGAUGCACGAGAUGUAUUAGAAAAUAAAUUGCUUCCACUUCGUAGAGGUUACAUUGGUGUAGUGAACAGAAGUCAGAAGGACAUAGAUGGCAAAAAGGACAUUCAGGCAGCUCUGGCUGCAGAGAGGAAAUUCUUUCUCUCCCACCCAGCCUACAGACACAUGGCUGAUCGCAUGGGAACCCCCUACCUGCAGAAAGUAUUGAACCAGCAAUUGACCAACCACAUCCGUGACACCCUGCCAGGGCUGCGCAACAAGCUCCAAAGCCAGCUUCUCUCCAUUGAGAAGGAGGUAGAGGAGUACAAGAACUUUCGCCCUGAUGACCCUGCUCGCAAGACCAAAGCUCUGCUUCAGAUGGUCCAGCAGUUUGCUGUGGACUUUGAAAAACGCAUUGAAGGCUCUGGAGACCAAAUUGAUACCUACGAGCUGUCAGGAGGAGCUAGGAUUAACCGCAUCUUCCAUGAGCGUUUCCCCUUUGAGCUGGUGAAGAUGGAGUUUGAUGAGAAGGAGCUGCGACGGGAGAUUAGCUAUGCCAUCAAGAACAUCCAUGGUAUCAGAACCGGUCUCUUCACACCCGACAUGGCCUUUGAGACCAUUGUGAAAAAGCAGGUGAAGAAGAUUAAAGAACCUUGCCUGAAAUGCGUGGACAUGGUCAUUUCGGAGUUAAUCAAUACUGUUAGACAGUGCACCAAGAAGCUCAGCCAAUACCCUCAUCUGCGUGAGGAGAUGGAGAGGAUUGUCACGACUCACAUCCGUGAGAGAGAAGGCAGGACCAAAGAUCAGGUCAUGCUUCUCAUAGACAUUGAGCUGGCUUACAUGAACACAAACCAUGAGGACUUCAUUGGCUUUGCCAAUGCUCAGCAGAGGAGCAGCCAAAUGAGCAAGAAGAAGGCAGCUGGCAACCAGGUCAUCCGAAAGGGCUGGCUCACUAUCAACAACAUUGGGAUCAUGAAGGGUGGCUCCAAGGAGUAUUGGUUUGUCCUGACAGCAGAGAACCUCUCCUGGUACAAGGAUGAUGAGGAGAAAGAGAAGAAGUACAUGUUACCAGUGGAUAACUUGAAGCUGCGAGAUGUUGAGAAGGGGUUCAUGUCCAGCAAGCACAUCUUUGCUCUCUUCAACACUGAACAGAGGAAUGUUUACAAGGACUACCGGCAGCUGGAGCUGGCCUGUGAGACCCAGGAGGAGGUGGAUAGCUGGAAGGCUUCCUUCCUUCGUGCAGGAGUCUACCCAGAGCGUGUUGGGGACAAGGACAAAGCCAGUGAAGCAGAGGAGAAUGGAUCAGACAGUUUCAUGCACUCCAUGGAUCCUCAGCUGGAGAGACAAGUGGAAACGAUCAGGAACCUGGUGGAUUCCUACAUGGCAAUUGUCAACAAAACCAUCCGAGACCUCAUGCCGAAGACAAUCAUGCACCUCAUGAUAAACAAUACCAAGGACUUCAUCCAUUCAGAGCUGCUGGCAAACCUGUAUUCCUGUGGUGACCAAAAUACCCUGAUGGAGGAAUCAGCAGAGCAGGCUCAGCGACGUGACGAGAUGCUGCGCAUGUUCCAUGCCCUGAAAGAGGCCCUCAACAUCAUCGGGGACAUCAACACCAGCACCAUCAGCACCCCAAUGCCCCCACCGGUGGACGACUCUUGGCUGCAGGUCCCCUACGUCCAGCCCCACGCCACAGAGGAGAGCUCCUGCAGUGCCACCCGCCAGACCUGGGUCUCGAGGCCCAGCUCCUGGACCACCUCCUGCUGGUGGGUCCACGCUGGGUGGUGCACCCCCUGUGCCCUCCAGGCCGGGGGCCUCUCCUGAUCCCUUUGGGCCCCCACCUCAGGUUCCUUCUCGGCCUAAUCGUGCUCCUCCUGGUGUUCCCAGAAGGGGCCCUGCCUCACCUACUCGACCUACCAUAAUCCGACCGGCUGAACCGUCCCUCUUAGAUUUAUAACUCGAGGCUGUAGACAGCUGGCGACGAAUGCCGUGCUGGCGGCUGCCCCAUCCCACCCUCCCUUCCACAGCCACAGUCACUCCUCUCAUCCAUCCCACAUCUCUGCCUCCCACCGCCCCUUCCUGGUGUGUCGUAAAACACUAGCCUAGUGAUUGAGCUCUUCGUCUUCACUCGUGCGUCCUGUAUUGCUUUGUGAGCAUAGAGUAGCCUUCAUUCAGUGGCAUGGAUCCCUGAAGUACACGGGCUCCUUGGAGAGAUCAGCCGCAGGGACAUCCUUAAGUCCAAGUGGUGGCUGUCCGUCCAUCUGCCUGGUCUAGCCUGGAUAAGUGUCCUGCCUGCAUCAGUUAGCUGUAGCACCCGGGACUGAUCUAUAGCUAUUUUCUUGUAGUUAAGACUAAAGUGUGACUUAGAAGAACAAUACUAUCAAAACAUGUGACACCGUUAGGAACAGAUUCAAUGUCCUGUGUAUUAGUUUGACUUCUAAGGUGCAAAAAUUCAUGUUGGGAACAGUGCAAUCAACCUUCUAUCCGAGUGAGGCAGGGAAAACAAGGAAAGGGGGGAAUUCAGUGGAUCGGCAUAGUCCUGCUAGAGUGAAGGCUGAGAUAGCGCACACACCUCAGCGGGCAGGGGGCACAUGGACCUGCUCACACUCGGCUCCCUUAGAGCUGGGGCAAUCCUGCUGGUGAUGCAGUGCUUUAGCAUCAUCACUUUUGGCUGACUUUCCUGAAGCCAGCAGGGAGAGGGGAAUAGAUCUGCUGCUCCCCCCUUGCAAAUGGACAGCCAAAUGUUUUCAGGGAGUUUUGCUGUGUAAUGUUUUGUUCAAGAUCUUUCUGCUUUGGAUAAGCACAUCUUCCAGUGUGGUUUGGGUACUGUGGUGACUUCUUCCGUAGCCUUUUCUUCUUGCAUGUGGAUGGUACGUGUUUGGGGAAACUUGUAACCGUUGUUGACCGCAACUCAUCUUCUUAAGGUUUGGUUUCUACUUUUCAUGCUACAUGUAUUAAAAAAUACUUGAGAAUUAAAGAUAUAUCAACCCUGUCCAUCUCAGAUGUCAUGUCUCUACCAGAGCUGAAUGAGCCAUUUGUGUUGCAGGCUUUCACCAAGGCCUGAUUCAGAUUUAACUUACCUCCAUUUCAGUGCUAUUACUCUGUUGUGGAUCCUCUGUUGUUGUGAUGCCAGUUCCUUUCUGUAUUUUAACUAUUGUUUUACUACUUCUCCCCCUUUUUCCUUCCCUUUUUCCUUUGUUUUCCUUGUCUUUACCCUCCAGCCGGCCGGGUAAGGCCAGUCCCUCCCGCCCGGAGAGCCCAAAACCACCAUUUGACAUGUAGGCCUGCUCCCUCUGAGACUCUUUGCCUGCCUCUUAGCUGUUCUGUCCUGGAAUGGUCUGACUCGAAUCUCACCCAUGGCUUGUUCUGUUUGUAUUUUGUGACACACACACAUCAGCUGUGAUUGUAGUAAAACUGGUUUCUUCAUUUUCUUUCUUCCCAGCUGCUUAAAGGAGUUAAACAAGUAUAUUGUAGUAAUGAGAACCAUAUCUUUACUGUUAUAAAUAUCUAUAAAUAUAUAUAUAUAAGAUGAAAAAUCUAUCUAUGUCCAGGUGUUUAAAGCCAUUUGUGCUUCCAUGUGGAUUUUAGGAAAUACUUAAGUAGGGAAAGAAUAUCUAUAUACAUAUAUAUAUACACUUACAUGCAAAAAGCUAACCAAAUCCUAAUGUUGAGUUUUUGAGCCGAUUGUUAAAUUCUCUGCUGUGUGCAGUUGGGUUAUUGUAUUACCCCAGACUUGUGGGUGAACUGUCUCAGUGCUGGUAGUAGCUGUGAUGCAGUUUGUGAUCUACCUGUCACUCUUGUUUAUUGAAUGAAAUAAACUAUCAUUUCUGUAUAAUG